CGCGCGGCGCCGGAGGCUGGCGGGCGGGCGGUGCACGCUCUGCCUGCAGACCUCUCUUGCCCUUCCCCGCGGCGGGGCGGCUCUCUGGCCGCGAUCCCUCCCAUGCUCUUUGUGCACCUUAUCACCACCUGGCUCUGACACUGUGGGGUGCCACCAGAGAGCACUGAGCGAGGGAGCUAGACAUCCGGGACCAGGAAGAGGAGCUCUCCUGAAAUCCAGCCUUCUGACCCCAAGAAGCCCUUGGGCCAAGCCCUAAGUUUCCAAUUGAAGUGUCCUUAACUGCUUGUUCCUUAUCAAGAAGACAUCUGCAAAGACUCGGCGUGGACUGGAUGGUCCCCUGGAAUGCUCCAGUUUAUUCACUCACAAAUGGCUAGGAAAUUUAAUGGGGGAGGGGACGUGUUGGGGGUCUCAACAAGUCUUUUGUACCCUAACAGCCUAGGAAGCUAGAAGAGGAAAUCAAUCGACUUAAGAAUCUAGAUCAUAGAAGUUGUUACGGUAAUAAUUUCACUGAUGAACAUCUGAAAUCCAACAUGGAAACCCAUGUUCAAAAACGGUGAAGUGAAGAAUCCAAGGAAGUUGAGGAAGCCUGGCUGAGAAGACUGUGCACAAGUCAACCAUAGGGCGGUAACGACAAGAAGAAUCCUGGGAUAAAAGCUGCUGUUAAUGAACACAGCAGUUCGAUCAUUUAAAAUAUGCAAACUUCACUUUUCCUGUCUGUUACCAUAAACCAGAGAGCCAUGGAUGCAAUGAACUCAAAUAAUUCCCAAAGAGGCCAAAGGGGCUGAGACAGAAGACACAAGGGCUGCUCCAUAAACACGUCCUCAUUUCACAGCUUCCUCCCUUGCCCUCUGCCCUUAGCUGGGCUCCUCUACUCUUUGAGAACAAGUCAUGGCAAUGCUUGGCAGGACAUGUGACUUGAAAGGUCCCUCUGGAACCGCUCAAAUCAAUGGACAGGAAGAAAGGAAGGAAAGAAUUUCCAGGUUAAGAAAUGCAGCAGGCUGAAGAAUGGCCAAGAGCCAAACAUCAGAAAUGAAAUAAGGACCCCAGCCACACAACUCCAAGGAACUAAAUAUAACUGCAAACCCAACAAGGUUGGAGAAGACCCUGACCUCAAAAUGAGGAAGGCCUAUGUUUUGGAAACUUAGACCAGGAGACCACAGAAGCAACAAAUGUCUCUACUUGUGAAUCAAGUUGGC
rnacentral:lncRNA from 1 species